rnacentral:rRNA from 1 species
UUCUGUAGGUGAACCUGCGGAAGGAUCAUUACCUUUCAGUACAGAAGCGUUGUGUUGGUUGAGUUGUGCCGGUUGAGUCUCGCUCACAAGUGGGGUUCCUGGUAGCAACUCCCUUCAUAAUUCUUCCUGUCUAUCAUCCUUGUCUUUUGCGUACUAUUGUUUCCUCGGCGGGCUUGCCCGCCGGCUGGACAACCUUAUAACCUAUUUAAUUUUCAAUCAGCGUCUGAAAUACUAUAAUAAUUACAACUUUCAACAACGGAUCUCUUGGUUCUGGCAUCGAUGAAGAACGCAGCGAAAUGCGAUAAGUAGUGUGAAUUGCAGAAUUCAGUGAAUCAUCGAAUCUUUGAACGCACAUUGCGCCCCUUGGUAUUCCAUGGGGCAUGCCUGUUCGAGCGUCAUUUGUACCCUCAAGCUUUGCUUGGUGUUGGGUGUUUGUCUUUUCCACGCGAUUAGACUCGCCCUAAAAUAAUUGGCAGCCAGUGUUUUGGUUUUGAAGCGCAGCACAAGUCGCGAUUCAGCUUAUAUCACUAGUUUCCAUUAAGCAUCUUAUCACUUUUGACCUCGGAUCAGGUAGGGAUACCCGCUGAAC